rnacentral:rRNA from 1 species
UACGUAGGGAGCAAGCGUUGUCCGGAAUCAUUGGGCGUAAAGCGCGCGUAGGUGGCUUCGUAAGUCCGUUGUGAAAGUCAAAGGCUCAACCUUUGAAUGUCAGCGGAUACUGCCGGGCUAGAGUCCGGAAGAGGCGAGUGGAAUUCCUGGUGUAGCGGUGGAAUGCGCAGAUAUCAGGAGGAACACCAACGGCGAAGGCAGCUCGCUGGGACGGUACUGACGCUGAGGCGCGAAAGCGUGGGGAGCGAACAGG